rnacentral:rRNA from 1 species
CGGCCUAACACAUGUCACUCUAAUGGCAGCACCGGUGAGCUUGCUCUCUGGGUGGCGAGUGGCGGACGGGUGAGGAAUACAUCGGAAUCUACUUUUUCGUGGGGGAUAACGUAGGGAAACUUACGCUAAUACCGCAUACGACCUACGGGUGAAAGCAGGGGAUCUUCGGACCUUGCGCGAUUGAAUGAGCCGAUGUCGGAUUAGCUAGUUGGCGGGGUAAAGGCCCACCAAGGCGACGAUCCGUAGCUGGUCUGAGAGGAUGAUCAGCCACACUGGAACUGAGACACGGUCCAGACUCCUACGGGAGGCAGCAGUGGGGAAUAUUGGACAAUGGGCGCAAGCCUGAUCCAGCCAUACCGCGUGGGUGAAGAAGGCCUUCGGGUUGUAAAGCCCUUUUGUUGGGAAAGAAAUCCAGCUGGCUAAUACCCGGUUGGGAUGACGGUACCCAAAGAAUAAGCACCGGCUAACUUCGUGCCAGCAGCCGCGGUAAUACGAAGGGUGCAAGCGUUUCUCGGAAUUACUGGGCGUAAAGCGUGCGUAGGUGGUCGUUAAGUCCGUUGUGAAAGCCCUGGGCUCACCUGGGAACUGCAGUGGAUACUGGGCGACUAGAGUGUGGUAGAAGGUAGCGGAAUUCCUGGUGUAGCAAUGAAUGC